AUGAAAACAUUUAAAUGAUGAAAAAAAAAUACCCAGCCUUGGUUUAUCAAGGGAACUUCUAAUGAGGAGAAGGGGAGGGGUAACAGCCACAGAAAGGGCAGCAGAGACUAACAGCCUGGCAGAGCACUUGUCAUCCUGACAACACAGCCCUGACUUGGAGUGCUCUGUACUCCAGGGCUACUGCUCCUCUGCAUGGAGUUCCAAACCCCCAACCCUUCUCACUCCAGAACUUCCAAAGUGCACCUCCCACCUCCCUCAAACGCCUUUCAGCUCUCCCUGCUGCAGCAGGACCUGCUCCAUCUCUCCUGUCCAGGUAUUUGGUGCCUCUGGAUUGUCUGGGAGUUUGGGAUGGAGAAGUUGUUGGCAAGUCCCUUCUGCAGGCCCAGUGAUGCUUUUUUCCCAUGAAGGUAUGGCUCUAUUCAUGGUAAGGG